GACGGGGGGGGCAAGUGUCCUUCGGAAUGACUGGGCGUAAAGGGCGCGUAGGCGGUUUGUCGCGUCGGGAGUGAAAUCCACUGGCUUAACUGGUGGCUUGCUUUCGAUACGGGCAGACUGGAGGUAUGCAGGGGAGAACGGAAUUCCUGGUGUAGCGGUGAAAUGCGCAGAUAUCAGGAGGAACACCGGUGGCGAAGGCGGUUCUCUGGGCAUGUCCUGACGCUGAGGAGCGAAAGUGUGGGGAGCGAACAGG
rnacentral:rRNA from 1 species